rnacentral:rRNA from 1 species
UGGGGAAUAUUGCACAAUGGGCGCAAGCCUGAUGCAGCCAUGCCGCGUGUGUGAAGAAGGCCUUCGGGUUGUAAAGCACUUUCAGCGGGGAGGAAGGCGAUAAGGUUAAUAACCUUGUCGAUUGACGUUACCCGCAGAAGAAGCACCGGCUAACUCCGUGCCAGCAGCCGCGGUAAUACGGAGGGUGCAAGCGUUAAUCGGAAUUACUGGGCGUAAAGCGCACGCAGGCGGUCUGUCAAGUCGGAUGUGAAAUCCCCGGGCUCAACCUGGGAAAUGCAUUCGAAACUGGCAGGCUAGAGUCUUGUAGAGGGGGGUAGAAUUCCAGGUGUAGCGGUGAAAUGCGUAGAGAUCUGGAGGAAUACCGGUGGCGAAGGCGCCCCCCUGGACAAAGACUGACGCUCAGGUGCGAAAGCGUGGGGAGCAAACAGG